UUUGAACCGCAUGGUUCAAAAGUGAAAGACGGUCUUGCUGUCACUUAUAGAUGGAUCCGCGCUGCAUUAGCUAGUUGGUAAGGUAACGGCUUACCAAGGCAACGAUGCAUAGCCGACCUGAGAGGGUGAUCGGCCACACUGGAACUGAGACACGGUCCAGACUCCUACGGGAGGCAGCAGUAGGGAAUCUUCCGCAAUGGGCGAAAGCCUGACGGAGCAACGCCGCGUGAGUGAUGAAGGUCUUCGGAUCGUAAAACUCUGUUAUUAGGGAAGAACAUAUGUGUA
rnacentral:rRNA from 1 species